UGUCAUGUAGUGGUUUCAGCAUUGGACUACAACUCAGAAGACCAGGGUUCAAUUCCCACCAUGACCA